UACGUAGGGGGCAAGCGUUGUCCGGAUUCAUUGGGCGUAAAGAGCGUGUAGGCGGCCAGGUAGGUCGGUUGUGAAAACUGGAGGCUCAACCUUCAGACGUCGACCGAAACCAUCUGGCUAGAGUCCGGGAGAGGAGAGUGGAAUUCCUGGUGUAGCGGUGAAAUGCGCAGAUAUCAGGAAGAACAUCGGUGGCGAAGGCGCUCUGCUGGACCAUAACUGACACUCAGGGACGAAAGCUAGGGGAGCGAAUGGG
rnacentral:rRNA from 1 species